rnacentral:rRNA from 1 species
UUGAACGCUGGCGGCAUGCUUUACACAUGCAAGUCGAGCGGCAGCGCGGGGGCAACCCUGGCGGCGAGCGGCGGACGGGUGAGUAAUGCAUCGGAACGUAUCCCGUAGUGGGGGACAACCCAGCGAAAGUUGGGCUAAUACCGCAUACGCUCUACGGAGGAAAGUGGGGGACUUCGCAAGGAGCCUCACGCUAGGGGCGCGGCCGAUGUCCGAUUAGCUAGUUGGUGGGGAAUGGCUCACCAAGGCGACGAUCGGUAGCUGGUCUGAGAGGAUGAUCAGCCACAC